GAUGAACGCUGGCGGCGUGCCUAAUACAUGCAAGUCGAGCGAACGGACGAGAAGCUUGCUUCUCUGAUGUUAGCGGCGGACGGGUGAGUAACACGUGGAUAACCUACCUAUAAGACUGGGAUAACUUCGGGAAACCGGAGCUAAUACCGGAUAAUAUUUUGAAACGCAUGGUUCAAAAGUGAAAGACGGUCUUGCUGUCACUUAUAGAUGGAUCCGCGCUGCAUUAGCUAGUUGGUAAGGUAACGGCUUACCAAGGCAACGAUGCAUAGCCGACCUGAGAGGGUGAUCGGCCACACUGGAACUGAGACACGGUCCAGACUCCUACAGGGGGCAGCAGUAGGGAAUCUUCCGCAAUGGGCGAAAGCCUGACGGAGCGACGCCGCGUGAGUGAUGAAGGUCUUCGGAUCGUAAAACUCUGUUAUUAGGGAAGAACAUAUGUGUAAGUAACUGUGCACAUCUUGACGGUACCUAAUCAGAAAGCCACGGCUAACUACGUG
rnacentral:rRNA from 1 species